CAAAGGUUGAUUCCGGUGGCGGAUGGGCAUGCGUCGCAUUAGUUAGUUGGCGGUGUAACGGACCACCAAGACGACGAUGCGUAGGGGUUCUGAGAGGAAGGUCCCCCACACUGGUACUGAGACACGGACCAGACUCCUACGGGAGGCAGCAGUGAGGAAUAUUGGUCAAUGGGCGGGAGCCUGAACCAGCCAAGUCGCGUGAGGGAUGACGGCCCUAUGGGUUGUAAACCUCUUUUGCCGGGGAGCAAAGUGCCGCACGUGUGCGGUUUGGAGAGUACCCGGAGAAAAAGCAUCGGCUAACUCCGUGCCAGCAGCCGCGGUAAUACGGAGGAUGCGAGCGUUAUCCGGAUUUAUUGGGUUUAAAGGGUGCGUAGGCGGACGCUUAAGUCAGCGGUAAAAUUGCGGGGCUCAACCUCGUCGAGCCGUUGAAACUGGGUGCCUUGAGUGGGCGAGAAGUACGCGGAAUGCGUGGUGUAGCGGUGAAAUGCAUAGAUAUCACGCAGAACUCCGAUUGCGAAGGCAGCGUACCGGCGCCCAACUGACGCUGAAGCACGAAGGCGUGGGUAUCGAACAGGAUUAGAUACCCUGGUAGUCCACGCAGUAAACGAUGAAUGCUAGUUGUCCGGGGCGGUUGAGUUCUGG
rnacentral:rRNA from 1 species